rnacentral:rRNA from 1 species
GACGAACCGAGCGAACGUUGUUCGGAAUUACUGGGCGUAAAGCGCGUGUAGGCUGCCCUGCAAGUCGGAUGUGAAAGCCCUGGGCUCAACCUAGGAAGUGCAUUCGAAACUGCAGGGCUGGAGUCCUGGAGAGGAAGGCGGAAUUCUCGGUGUAGAGGUGAAAUUCGUAGAUAUCGAGAGGAACACCGGUGGCGAAGGCGGCCUUCUGGACAGUGACUGACGCUGAGACGCGAAAGCGUGGGGAGCAAACAGG